AGAUUGAACGCUAGCGGCAUGCCUAACACAUGCAAGUCGAACGGUAACAGGCCCUUCGGGGUGCUGACGAGUGGCGGACGGGUGAGUAAUGCGUAGGGAAUCUACCCACGAGUGGGGGGAUAGCCCGGAGAAAUACCGGAUUAAUACCGCAUAUGCCCUACGGGGUAAAAGCGGGGGGAUCGUAAAGACCGUCGCGCUGGUGGAUGAGCCUACGUCCGAUUAGUUAGUUGGUGGGGUAAAGCCUACCGAAGGCUACGAUCGGUAGCUGGUCUGAGAGGACGACCAGCCACACUGGGACUGAGACACGGCCCAGACUCCUACGGGAGGCAC
rnacentral:rRNA from 1 species